rnacentral:rRNA from 1 species
AACGCUAGCUACAGGCUUAACACAUGCAAGUCGAGGGGAAACGAUAUUGGAAGCUUGCUUCCGAUAGGCGUCGACCGGCGCACGGGUGAGUAACGCGUAUCCAACCUGCCCAUCACUUGGGGAUAACCUUGCGAAAGUAAGACUAAUACCCAAUGAUAUCUCUAGAAGACAUCUGAAAGAGAUUAAAGAUUUAUCGGUGAUGGAUGGGGAUGCGUCUGAUUAGCUUGUUGGCGGGGUAACGGCCCACCAAGGCAACGAUCAGUAGGGGUUCUGAGAGGAAGGUCCCCCACAUUGGAACUGAGACACGGUCCAAACUCCUACGGGAGGCAGCAGUGAGGAAUAUUGGUCAAUGGACGAGAGUCUGAACCAGCCAAGUAGCGUGCAGGAUGACGGCCCUAUGGGUUGUAAACUGCUUUUAUAAGGGAAUAAAGUGAGUCUCGUGAGACUUUUUGCAUGUACCUUAUGAAUAAGGACCGGCUAAUUCCGUGCCAGCAGCCGCGGUAAUACGGAAGGUCCGGGCGUUAUCCGGAUUUAUUGGGUUUAAAGGGAGCGUAGGCCGGAGAUUAAGCGUGUUGUGAAAUGUAGACGCUCAACGUCUGCACUGCAGCGCGAACUGGUUUCCUUGAGUACGCACAAAGUGGGCGGAAUUCGUGGUGUAGCGGUGAAAUGCUUAGAUAUCACGAAGAACUCCGAUUG